ensembl:snoRNA
UGCGGACGAGCCUUGCCUCCCUCUCUGCUCAGGGCUCCCGGGAACCCGGAGAGACGCUGCCCCGGAAGCUGAAGCA